AGGGGGGGACCUUCGGGCCUCCUGUCCUUGGAUGAGUCUGCGUACCAUUAGCUAGUUGGUGGGGUAAUGGCCUACCAAGGCGACGAUGGUUAGCUGGUCUGAGAGGAUGAUCAGCCACACUGGAACUGAGAUACGGUCCAGACUCCUACGGGAGGCAGCAGUGGGGAAUUUUGCGCAAUGGGGGAAACCCUGACGCAGCAACGCCGCGUGGGUGAUGAAGGCCUUCGGGUCGUAAAGCUCUGUCUGGAGGGAAGAAAUGAUUGGGAGCUAAUACCUCUUGAUCUUGACGGUACCUCUGAAGGAAGCACCGGCUAACUCCGUGCCAGCAGCCGCGGUAAUACGGAGGGUGCAAGCGUUGUUCGGAAUUAUUGGGCGUAAAGCGCGUGUAGGCGGUCUUUUAAGUCUGAUGUGAAAGCCCCGGGCUC
rnacentral:rRNA from 1 species